UGCAGACAUCGAAACUAAGAGCAGGA
rnacentral:piRNA from 1 species